GACGAACGCUGGCGGCGUGCUUAACACAUGCAAGUCGAACGGAAAGGCCCUGCUUUUGUGGGGUGCUCGAGUGGCGAACGGGUGAGUAACACGUGAGUAACCUGCCCUUGACUUUGGGAUAACUUCAGGAAACUGGGGCUAAUACCGGAUAGGAGCUCCUGCUGCAUGGUGGGGGUUGGAAAGAUUCGGCGGUUGGGGAUGGACUCGCGGCUUAUCAGCUUGUUGGUGGGGUAGUGGCUUACCAAGGCUUUGACGGGUAGCCGGCCUGAGAGGGUGACCAGCCACAUGGGGACUGAGAGACGGCCCAGACUCCUACGGGAGGCAGCAGUGGGGAAUAUUGCACAAUGGGCGGAAGCCUGAUGCAGCAACGCCGCGUGCGGGAUGACGGCCUUCGGGUGGUAAACCGCUUUCGCCGGUGACGAAGCGGGAGUGACGGUAAUGGGUAAAGAAGCACCGGCUAACUACGUG
rnacentral:rRNA from 1 species